UACGGAGGGGGCUAGCGUUGUUCGGAAUUACUGGGCGUAAAGCGCACGUAGGCGGCUUGCAAGUUAGAGGUGAAAGCCCGGGGGCUCAACUCCGGAAUUGCCUUUAAAACUGCAUCGCUAGAAUUGUGGAGAGGUAAGUGGAAUUCCGAGUGUAGAGGUGAAAUUCGUAGAUAUUCGGAAGAACACCAGUGGCGAAGGCGACUUACUGGACACAUAUUGACGCUGAGGUGCGAAAGCGUGGGGAGCAAACAGG
rnacentral:rRNA from 1 species